AUGUCCCACGCGUACACGCCGGUUUCUCCGCGCCGUCCACGCCUACCUGACGACUGUUCGCUGCGUUGUGUUAGCC
rnacentral:sRNA from 1 species